CCGGGAAAGAGCCCGCGGUACCUAGGGGGCACAGCCGGGACCCGCAGCAGUCGCCGUGUCCGCGCUUGCAACUCAGAGAGUGAUUAUUUUUGACAGGCUGACUGAACCUCAAGUGACAGGUCUGGGCAGAUGUUUCCCUUCACCCCUGUCCCACCUCAGGAUUUUGGUGCCCACUCACGUCAAAUGGGCUCUGGUAAUAAAACAGUUUUGAACUGUCAGCACUGAGCAAUCCUCUGGGAAAGACUCGACCUAGGAAUUCUCUCUUCUCCCUCACUAAGGUUACCUGAUGCUGUGUCACUGUCCCUUGGAGCCCCAAAGUAUACCCCAUCUAUUCCAAGACCUCUCU